rnacentral:lncRNA from 1 species
GCCAUCAGGAGGACUGAAACUGUAAACACAAGCUGGUAUUUUGGUGUGAUCACGCUAAUAUGGCGGUUUGUGAGGUCAAGGGGUGGAAGUUACAGGUAGGCAAUAUAUCUUUAACCAAAGUUGUGCUAGAUGGGGUCUUCAAGGUUAUUUGGAUUUUGAUGUACUAAGAAAAUAUCCUCAGUAGAAAAAUACCAGAAAUGGCAUUCCAACUCACCCUACCAAGGACAAGAAGCAGAUCAUUAGGAACAGAUAUAUUGGAGCUUGGCCCUGUAAAAACAUAGGAUAGCUAACAAAUACAUAAAAUUAGUUGUAUGGCCUCAUUUAUUCCUUCAUAGAGAUACAGCUCCUGGCAACCACCAUUCUACUUGAUGCCUCUAUGAAUCUGACUACUCUAGGUACCUCAGAUGAGUGGAAUUAUGCAGUAUUUGUCCUUUUGUGUGUACAACUAAUUUGACAGGCAGUAUGAUAAGGAACAAUCUGAAUGACACGUAAACAGGAGGGGGUAAAUUCCAAGCACAGCCUGAAUGAGAAGUACAACUCAUUUCCUGUAACCUAGAUGCCUUUUUAACACAUCUAUGCAGUCUCCAUGUGAAACCAGGUGCUGUUCCCAAAGGAGAAAACACUGCCCUCCAGUGGUCUUCAAUGAAGAAAUGGAAAUAGUUUCAGGUGGAAACCAGGCUUCUUGGAAGACUUCAAACUAUGCCAAAUGGUCUGAUUUCACCAUAGAGAAAUCUAAGCUGAGACAACUUAAAACUCAAAUGAGAUGCAUGAAAGCACUUGUCAUCCUGACACCAUAUUGAGAAACAUGAUCAGAUUCUUUGCUGAAGAAUGCAGCUGUAUUAAAGGAAGAAAGAAAACCAAGCUACAGCUCCUUAUAAUUCAACAAGCAUUUAAAAGAUUUAUAAAGAUGGUGCAAUUAUGUAUUUAAGCUGCUUCAACACAAGUUCUUGCCUUUCACUCCCACCCUGUGGCUUACACUGGUAUUACAUCUAUUCUGACAUUUAAAAAUCAACAUUAAAGAACAUAUUGUAAUAAUGUAUUCUAUGGUUUAAAUAUUUAAAAAAUUUUACAUCAUACCUAGAAAGUGUUGUGUACUUUCUAAAGCUUAUAAACUGAAAAGGAUUUGAAGAAUCCUAAUACAGAAUCAUAAGUUAUAAUUCAUCCAAAAUUGUAUAGUUCUUAAAUUUCAAAUCCAAACCAGUGGAUAUCUGUCUUUAGUGACAUUUAGAUUUUAUUCAAUUAAGGUCAUUGUAGCUAUUAUAAAUGGAAGAUUUUACUUCAUUGUGUCUUAUCACUGAAGUACUUCACUCUUGCUUUUCAAAAGAUUUCUUUCAAUUUCUUCAGAGUCUUAUUUGUUCUCUAAGACAAAGACUUGAUUUCAGUUUGUUUUUCUUAAAAUUAAUAUCUUCUCCAAUUUAUUUCCCAGUUUUUUCUAAAUAAAUACUUUAAAUAUAUAGAGUAUUAUUUUUAUAGUAUCUCAGAAUUAGUAAAAUAAAAUCUUGCCAAUACAAA